rnacentral:lncRNA from 1 species
CCUGUGCUGACACUUCCUAGUCAGCUACAUGUGACCCCUAAGCCCAUGUGAGAGUGCCCCUCUCAUUUUCACUUUCAAUUUAGCUGAAAUGAAGAGACGAUAAGUUUUCUUUUCUUGUAACAUAUUUGGGAGUGACAAAGUCACAUAUUUGGGAUCAGAGCCAAAUUGACAGCAGACAAUGACCUGUCUCCCAGUCCAGAUACCACUGCUGUUCAUCUGCCUGUCUACCAGACCAGCCCAGAGUACUGUACCACUGCUGUUCAAAUGCCUGUCUAUCUGUCCAGAAUGAAGCUUAUCCUGACUCUCUCUCUCAUCUGCACUCUCUUCUGCUCAGGUAACACCUCUGACCUCACAAUCAGAUGUGCAUAAAGGUUUUUUUA